rnacentral:lncRNA from 1 species
UGGAAUUCUACUGUGGAAAGUUUGUGAUUACAAUGCUAGAUUUGAGCAUGAUGCACGUGAAACAUCAAGUUCAUUAUUUCUCACGCGAUUUGGAUGAUGAGAAAGAUGGUUAGCAUGACAAUCAUCAUGCAUUAGGAUGUCAAUAACUUUAGGCAUUACUGGAGAGUUAUAAGGUCGAGCAGUCGAGGCAGAUCAGCAGGCCGUGUAUCCUGAUAGCUUGAGCAGAAUUAUAGCUUGUGUAAUAGUUUGGAAUACAAAAGUUUGAGAGAUUGGAAGAGACCAAAAACAUCGGUAUAUUUUCUCUGAACAUGCUGCCUAGUUAUGUUGCUGCCGAAACUAUGGUUUUCGUGUCCUCAAAUCGCAUUAAUACAAAACAGAGUUACGUGGCGUUUCAGCACACCUUUACGUAAAGAGGUCAUCGGUAAGGCGCCUAUCCAUUGUUAAGCCUACAUAAUUUUAAAGGAACCCAUGUCAAGACAAAGCCAAGAGUACAUGUUUGUUAUAUUUGCGAGACUGCUGUAAGAGAAAAAUGUUUUGUAAGACCUGUUUGGAUCAUAGUCUCUAAAACAAAUUGUCUAAAUUUUACGUGAAAAUUUUAUUUGAAGGAUGAAUAUGUAUUUGGUUCUUACGACUUGAGAAUUGUUCGAAAUGAAUAGAGGGAUUGGUGAAAUAAUUGUUGUAUUGCUUGAGUCUCAUGGCAUAUAUAUAGGAGUACAUGAUCAUCUUAAAGUUUUGGGGAUCGUAGUAAUAAUUCAAAAAAAUUCCUACGUCACACCAAGAUCUAACUAGGACAAACCAGCAAUGAGAGAGGUAGAGCAUCUUCAUACCGUUGAAGAUCGCAAAGCAGGAGCGUUACUAUGAACGCGGUUGGUGGAGUCGUACUCGCGGUGAUCCGAUCAAACACCGAACGUUCGGUCUCUCCGCGUUCAACACACCUACAACCCCGGGUAGUCUCCUCCUUGUUGAUCUAGCAAGGAGGGAGGAGAAGUUGAGGGAGAACUCCGACAGCACGACGGCUUGGUGGCGAUGGAGUUUGUGGCUCUCCGGCAGGGCUUCGCCAAGCACCACAGAGGAGUAGAUGUGGAGAGGUAGGGCUGCACCAAGGGAG